AUUGAACGCUGGCGGCAUGCCUAACACAUGCAAGUCGAACGGCAACAGGUACUAGUUUACUAGUAUGCUGGCGAGUGGCGGACGGGUGAGUAACGCGUAGGAAUAUGUCCUAAAGAGUGGGAUAACUUGGGGAAACUCAGGCUAAUACCGCAUAAGCUCUAAGGAGUAAAGCUGGGGACCGUAAGGCCUGGCGCUUUAGGAGUAGCCUGCGUCCGAUUAGCUAGUUGGUAGGGUAAGAGCCUACCAAGGCGACGAUCGGUAGCUGGUCUGAGAGGAUGAUCAGCCACACUGGGACUGAGACACGGCCCAGACUCCUACGGGAGGCAGCAGUGGGGAAUAUUGGACAAUGGGGGCAACCCUGAUCCAGCAAUGCCGCGUGUGUGAAGAAGGCCUGAGGGUUGUAAAGCACUUUCAUUGGGGAGGAGGAUUGACGGGUUAAGAGCUGGUCAAUUGGACGUUACCCAAAGAGAAGCACCGGCUAACUCCGUGCCAGCAGCCG
rnacentral:rRNA from 1 species